rnacentral:misc_RNA from 1 species
UCUCCGUUGGUGAACCAGCGGAGGGAUCAUUACCGAGUUUACAACUCCCAAACCCCUGUGAACAUACCUAUGUUGCUUCGGCGGGAUCGCCCCGGCGCCUUCGGGCCCGGACCCAGGCGCCCGCCGGAGGACCCAAACUCUUGUCUUCAUGAGAAUCUUCUGAGUGAUACAAGCAAAUAAAUUAAAACUUUCAACAACGGAUCUCUUGGUUCUG